CAUGAUUAUCUGCUCAAUGUGUAAAGCUAUUCGUUACAACAAAGGUUCCACAGUGGCUUAGUCCAAAUUGAAAAGGCAUAUUGAAGCCAGUAAUGCAGUAAAGUAGACUAUGGCAAGGUUAAUCAGUGUAUGAGUAAACUGCAUAACCUACUUUAUACGAACCAGAGUUGAGAUGUUUGGAAACAGAUUCCGUGUGUAUACACUAUUAAACCUCUUCUC